GAUUACUUUGUUAGCACUGUACAUCUUAAUCCCGAAUUCAUGACAGGAAAUUCUUGUUGGAGAAAAUGUUAAGAUCUCAUGUCAUUCUUAAUAUCACUUUAUCUAACUGCGGUCUCUUUCAUACAUGCAGCAAUCAGAAAGCAGUGUGGAUUAUAUUUCUUUAUCAUUGUUACAGAGGGUUUGAUAUGUAUUUAAUCAUUGUACACAAUUUUGAAUCAUGGUGUAGCUUAUGGAUUUUGUUGUAGGCAUAAAAAUAUUUUUGUACAGUUUGUGAAUCAUUUCGAUACUUAUUUAGCUCCGUAGAAAGGAGAAUUUAUAAUCAGGUUUUGUAUGUAUACAUGAAGAUUUGAGCUUUGAGAAUACGAAAGUGGCUGAUCUUGAAACACUUAUCGGUUCUCUGUAAGAGUAGUUGCUGGAAAUAAUUGGACCAGGAAGCAGCAGAUAAAACAAUCAGUUACUACACGUAUAUUCUUUUCAUUUUUAAAUCAAAAUUAAUUCAAAUAGAUCUUCAAUCUGGCCCAGAGCAUUUUCCUUAUUUUUCUAAUCCGGUUACAGUAACUGUUACCCUUCGAAUGAAUCAAAUUGUUUUGCGAAACUCGUUCUUUAUUUUGUAGCAUUCAAUUAAAGCUCUCCUUGUUUUAUCUCUCUCCAAUCAACACUGUAGUUUUUACUGCUGCAGCCCCCUAGUGGUUACUUCACUACAAAGACAAAAGUUCAACUCACUUUUGUCCUGUUGACUCCCUCCACAUAGUCAGAAUUUGUCUUGUUUUGGUGGAAUUAACCCUUUUUUCUUCCAGUUUGAGUCUGUUUUUGCAGGUUAUUUUGCAGGUUGUUCCACACAAAAGCUAUCCUUGGAGGCUGCCAAGAAGAGAGAGAGGAAACGAGAACUGGAAGUUCAGCCCAUGAAAGUCCAGAACACUCUGGCCUACCUCAUGGACUUGGACCCACACCCAAUGAGGAGAAGAUGGAGUUCUUAUUUCUUUAGAAAAUUUGUGAUGUGUCGCACCACAUUGGAUGCCGAAGAAGUUGGCCAAAGACCUUUGAAGAAGCAAUUCUUUUUUGUCAUUGUUUAUAAUUGUAAAUAGUUUUUCUUGUAUGUAUGUAUAUAUUUAAAAUAGUUUUAUUUUUACUAUAGAGACUGUAAUAUGUCAUGUUAGAUUAUAGUUUCAGUUCCUGUAUGUGUAUAUAGUUAUAGUUCCUGUAUGUGUAUAGUUAUAUAAGUUUUAUAUUUAUAACAAAUGAAACAUCAUGGCAAAGCCAUGAUGUUUCACUUGUGAGAGUAAAUCUGUCGGGCCUCACCUUGACACUCAGGCAACAACCCUGAGUGCCACAUGGCCAGACAGGACACAUGUAAAAUAAAAAACAGCAAAAUUUUUUAUUUUAUUUAUAUUCUUUAAAUGUUGUAAUUUUAGUUCAUUGUAAACUUUACCUGCAAAAACCUUGUAGAAAUCUUUAACAUUGUUCAAUAUAUAUUUAAACUGUGAUCUGUUGUGUGUGUGGGUUAUUUAAUUAAAAUUUUUUCUUUGUCACUAUUAAGUAAAUGUUAAUGAACUGCCUUCUUGCAGUUCAUUAACAUUGAACAGUUCAAUGCAGGGCUCAUUAGAACUAAUGAGUAAGCCAGUGCAAUAGUAUUAACCUUUGACCUAAUGAUAAUA